UGGGAUGGGGAUGCUGGGAGAAGAGGGUUUGACUUAUCCUGGCUCUUGUUGCUUCUUUAGGACUUGGAGCCACUCCUCCCUAGCACAGCCUGCCCAUUGAGCACCUAAGUUGGGCUCUCCCCCAGCCCCAGCCCCCAUCACUGGACAGUCAUGGGCAGUGGCUGCUACCAGGGAGAACCGCAUGACCUUGAGCAAGACAGCUUUCUGUGGAGGGAAGGCAGUUCUCCAAGAGACACUCAUCUGAGAGCUGUCAGCCAACUCUCCCAGCAGGAAAGUCACAUUUUGAACUUCACUCCCUAAAAUACAUUCAAUCACGCUUCGGCUUCUGAGGAGGGGCGGAGGGAGGCACAUAGCAACGGCUUAUGUGCUUCGCUUCUCAUCUGAGGAAAUUAUCUUUUCAAAAUGACGGGUGCUCCUGACCCUGUCUGAGAGCAGAAUUGUAGAGCUGUUCCAUUCUGCUUCGAGCUAAUCCAGUCCUGGUUUCCUGAACUGAGGUCUCAGAGAAGGUGGGCGGGGCUGUGGCGACCUUGUCAAUCAAAAUGGCUCCUGCAGAGCUUGCCAGAUCUGCUCUUCUCCACCCCAGAGGCUGACCUGCAUGGGCCGCAAUCAACAGCCUCCCUUGUCCCCAGCUCCACUGUGUCUGUUACUGGAGAGCCCAGCAGAUAAGGGGGAAGAAAAUAGAGGCUGCUUUUGGCUGGCUGUGCCACGGAAUGGCUCCUCUACAGCAUCCUCUCCUUCCCAACCAGUGUGAUGGGCCCAUACUCUUUAACCCCUGCGAUCUAAGGUCAGGAUGGGUCUCUGAGACCUGGGGCUGCAGGAAAGAGGUGCUGGACCUGAUGUAGGUCCCCAGUGAUUAUAGGUUUGGGGUGAGGGUCACGGCACAACCUAGAGAAUGAAGCAGGAUCUGUUACUCACCUGUGAGGACUUUCAGGUCUCCCAUGGUCUUUCCUGUCCUGGCAACUCCCCAGUGUUUAGCCAAUGCAAUUAGUUUAGUUCACUGUACAUUUGUUUUCCCACUGAUUUUUAGACAGAGUGAAAGGGAGGGAGAGAAGGAGAGAGAGAGAACAGAGAAGAGAAAGAAGAGAAACAAUGAUGUGAGAGAGACACAUCGAUCUGUUGCCUCCCAUACUGGAGUACUGGGGCUCAAACCUGCCACCCAGAUACAUGCCCUUGAUCAGGAAUCGAAUCUGCAACCCUUCAGUGCGCAGGCCAAAGCUCUAACCACUGAGAACACCGGCAGUGGACUCUGUCCCUGCCUUUUGAAUCUGGGUGAACUUGUAAUUCCUCUGUCCCAUAAAGUUCAGAAGAAGUGAUAGAUAUGACUUCUGAGCCUGGGUCAUAAAAGAUGCUGAGCUUUCUCCUGGUUCUCCUGGGACCUGGCUCUGUGGGAAGUCCAUCCACGUAAGAAGUCUGACAACCCUGAACCCACCUGCUGGAGAGGCCACGUGAAACAGUUCAGGAGGCAGCCCAAGCUGAGCUCCCAGCCAACUGCCCAGCAUCAGCUGCCAGCCAUGUGGAUGAGCCAACUUGGACGUCUGGCCCAAUCAUGCCUUCAGAUGACCGCCGUCUCAGCCAACAUCUAAAUGCAGCCUUGUGAGAGAUCCCAAGGCUCACCAGAGCUCCUUAAUUUCCUGACUCAGAAAAUCACAAGCAAAAGAAAAUGAUUGUGUUUUGUUUUUUUUAAUGUUUUUAUUGACUUCGGAAAGAGGAAGGAAGAGAGGAAUAG